AAGUCGUAACAAGGUAACCGUAGGUGAACCUGCGGUUGGAUCAUUAAAAAAAAAAUUCAUGAAGGGAUCCCCCCCCCCCACAUAUAUUGUUGGGGGAGAGAGGGUCCUUUUACACACCUUAUCUGUGAACUUUGAUUUGAUUUGGGAGUUGGUUAAAGUUUUACUUUAUAAGUAUGUUAACUACUACGUUAACAUUGCCCUCCCUUAUUAUCCUUUUAAAAUCCAUCUUUUUUUUUUUAUUGACAAAAAACAUAUAUUUAUUUGAAAAAUGAAAAAAAACAACUUUUGACAACGGAUCUCUAGGUUCUC
rnacentral:misc_RNA from 1 species